CAGUGGCGGAUUCCAACCUCGUGAGCGGCGCGUUGGAGAGCAGGAAGAGGGCUGGGAUGCGGUCGCUCCCAAGCGGCCCCGACUCGGGGCGGGAAACAAGAUCGGAGGGCGAAGGCUCAUUGUGGUGCUGGAAGGGGCCAGUCUGGAGACAGUCAAGGUAGUUUGGGACAAGGAAGUGGAGAAUUAGCAGAUCGAUAGGAUGGGACCCCGGGGCGGGGGGGAGGUGAGGGUGAGAGGCUCAAAGUGGAUGGAGAGGCAGAGAGAGUGAAACAUGCUUUUGGAGGAAGAAUAGCCUAGUUGACUGUCUUUUGGUUAAACACCUGGGUUGGCGUUACUCGUUGUCUUCUGCUCUUCGUGAAUCUCACUGCAGCUGUCACAUCCUGACUUCAAUUGAUUUACCGGGAUUCUGUGGUAAAAAGUUAUCUAAAGGGAGGGAGGGUAGGGAAGGAUAGACAUGUCCAUUGCGUCAUCCCUAGGUGUCUUUUGUCACCUUCCUUUAUAGUACUAUCCACUUUGAAACGCUGGAUCAAUUAUCAUUUAAUACUUUUACAUCCUUAUUUUUACCUGUCAUUCAGCCCUUUUCCCGAAUAUUCCAGCAAUUGUAUAUCUUAAAACUGCAGUGUUCUCACUCUGACUUUCUUGUUUCUCUUACCUUUAGAGCUAAACUUGUCGAAUGAGGAGGCCCAGAAGAAAUAGCACUGGUUUCUAAGUCAGACCUGGGUUUUAAACUUGUUUUUCAUACUUAUUUUAAGUGUGUGAUCUUGAGAAAACAACUUUGUCCUUAGUUUGUAAAGUGGAGGUUAAUACUUUGAAAGUGCUUUAAAAGUAAUAUUUUGAUAGUAAUGUGAUUCUUUUCCAUUUUUACUUCCUCAAUCUUUGUGUUACUUUAUUAAGCUUGCAGUCUAGAAAGUCUUUUUUUUUUUUCCCAUUUUUCUUAGGUAAUUGAUAUUUCCAACUUAAUUACAGGAUCUUAUAUUUAUGUCUCAGUUAAUUGCUUGCCGUCUUCCCAGCCUAUUAAUUCUGAAUCUCCCUUAACCACUUGUUUCUUCAUAUGUCCCAUGGGGAUGAUAGUACGGACCUUAUUGGGUUGAGGGGAUGAAGGGAGGUAAUAUCAGCAAAGGGUUUAGAAUGAUGCCUGUCACUUGGAAUAAAUUAUUGCCAUUGUUAUUGAUUCCAGGUUCCUCAUCAAGAAGUUAAAAAGGUCACGGCCAAAUUAAAAUUCUUAGAGCAUGCUGGUGGAAUGUAGGUCAGAUUGUCAUUAAUGGUACUCCAGGGAUGAUUGAAUUCAUAGCUGGUUGAAAUUUUAUGUACUAUUAUCUUUUGCCUUCCUGGUGCUGGUCCUUCUUGUUCUGCUAGCCUCGUGGAGCCUGCUCUCUCCUAUUUAUUCCUUAGACUCCAGACUUGUUGGCCUUUGUUAAAGUCUUUGAAAGCACUAAGUUCUCUGAUAUUUUAAGGCCGUUGCACAUAAUGUUCUCUAACGGAAGCUUCCUUUACUUAGCUCUUUAUUAAUUCCUGUUUGACAGUUCAUGCAACAAUUACUGAGUAUGAUGCUGUUCAUUUUUCAAUUAUUAGUUAAAAUGUUAUUUCUUCAUAGGAGUGACUCCCUUCUUGGUAUAAAUCAGGCCCUCCUGUUAAUAAUCCUUUAACGAACCAUUUAUUUUUCUUUCAUAAUGUUGAUCACAAUUUGGUUGUGGUUUCAUUUGGUGGUUUACUGUUUGUCUCUUCCACUAGAAGGCUUCCAUGAGGGCAGGGAAUAAAAGGUUCUAAAAAUUCUUAUAGCUCUGAUACCUGUUACAGACAAUGAAUACACAUAGUACUCAUUCUCUGAUUAUUCUAAUUAGUUGUUUUCAAGCUUAUUAACCACAACCCACAAUAAAAAAGUCACAUUGUGAGCCAGUACACACACACACACACACACACACACACACACACACACAAACACAUGCAACUAUCUGAUACCAAAAGCUUCAUAAACUACCACUUACCAUGACUACAUGUAAAGUACUCUUUUCUAUUUUAUUAAAAUAAUAAAACUCCUGGUUAUAACUUCCUAAUGGGUAGAAACUGGAUUGUUCUAUUCAAGAAGUUCUUUUUUUCAAUAACUAAGAGUGUCCCACAGAGUUGGUUCUUUCCCUAUGCUUACUCUCUGACAUUUUUGUUGUUUCAGUUAAUCAGUUUCAAAAUCUACAUGCCUCUUCCCCCAAGCUUUGUGGAGUUAUGUUUCCUUUUUUUUUUUUUUUUAAGUGUUUAUUCCUGACAGAGAGAGUGUGAACAGGGGAGUGGCAGAGAGAGGGAGACACAGAAUCUGAAGCAGGCUCCAGGCCCUGAGCUGUCAGCACAGAGCCGGAAGUGGGGCUCGAACUCACAGACUGUGAGAUCAUGACCUGAGCUGAAGUCGGACGGCUUAACCGACUGAGCCACCCAGGCGCUCCUGGAGUUAUGUUUCUUAAGUUGUUGCCAGACAUACGAAUGUUCUAUUGAUACAUAAAAACACAGCCUCUCAAAUCCUGCAUUUGUAUAUUUAGUGGUGUGGUUUUGGACUUUUUACUGACCACUUUAUUGCUCCUUAGGACCCCAAAUUGCAAUCUGCAAUUCUUUCUUUUAGCUGCUAUAGAUUUUAGCCAGAUCUUUAGUAUCACACAUGUAGUUAGUGUCUCUUCUAGUAUACACUGAGUUACCAGAAUAAUAUUCCUCAUUCACUCAGUGCCCUGUUAUUCCACAAUUAUUUCUGGCUUUGUGCUCGAUACUUGAGGGACCUUGCAGUUUACAAAGCAGUCAUAUUUAAUCACUGUUCUUCAGUGUUUCAGUUCUACUUUUUCCGCAUGCGUUUUCCUUCUUCACAUUUCUGCUUUUCCUUUAUUCCAGCUGUACCUUUGCUCAGACCAGUCUUAACACUGGCACCAACCCUCUUCCGUUUUACUUUUGAAAGUAUUCCUUGCUGAAGUCGCCUCCCGCAUCAUUAGAAUUUUCACACUUUUCUCUCCAUCCUCGCCAACACUUAUUUCUUGUCUUUUUUUGAUACUAGCCAUUCUGGCUGGUGAGGUGAUACCUUGUUGUGCUUUUGAUUUGCAUUUCCCUGAUAAGUGAGGUUGAGCAUCUUUUCAUUUGUCUGUUGGUCAUCUGGGUGUCUUCCUUAGAAAAGUGUCUGUUCAGGUCCUCUGCCCAUUUUUUAAUCAGAUUGUUUUUUUUGGUAUUGCAGAAGUUCUCUGUAUUGGUUAAUUUGGAUAUUAACCCCUUAUCAGAUAUAUCAUUUGCAGAUACCUUCUUUCCCAUUCAGUAGGUUGCCUUUUUGUUUUGUGGAUGGGUUUCCUUUGCUGUGCGGGAGUUUAGAUCACGUGAAAUCACAGGCUGUGUCCUUUUGUCAUCCAAGAUCAUUUACAAGGGUAGGGGAGAAAGGGUCAGUGGCCACACAGUAAACCCCUGAAAGGCUUGCUGGGCCCCAUCCCCCAUUUCUGAUUCAGAAGAUCUGGAGUAGACUGAGAAUUUGACUAACAAGUUUCUAGAUGAUGAUUAUGAUGCUGCUGCUGCUUUGGGGACCACACUUUGAGAACCACUAGUCUAGGUAAAAGAAGCUUAUGUUGCUGUCUGUCAUGUUCCCUGUUCUUUAGGUAGGGAAGACCUAUGAGUUACUCAACUGUGACAAGCACAAGUCUGUGCUGUUGAAGAAUGGACGGGACCCUGGGGAAGUGAGACCAGACAUAGCUCACCAGGUAACUCCAGGGACAGAGCUCACGACCUCAAGCCUUUGUACAGAAGGUCGGGCAGCUGUGUGCUGCUUCUCUUCGCUUGAAACUAUGCCUUGGUUUCUGCGUCCCCCAGAGUUUACUGAUGCUGAUGGACAGUCCCCUGAACCGAGCUGGCUUGCUGCAGGUUUAUAUCCACACACAGAAGAAUGUGCUGAUUGAAGUGAACCCCCAGACUCGAAUUCCCAGAACCUUUGACCGCUUUUGUGGCCUCAUGGGUGAGAUCUCUAGGAGUUAAGGUUCAGAACGAACUUGGCAGUAGUGAAGAAGGGAGGAAGAGGAAAGAGAUAAAUGAAACGUGAGCUUUGUAAAUAGGAGGAGUGGGGUGUAUGUUUGAUACCAGAACAAGGACUCAUCUU
rnacentral:lncRNA from 1 species